GAUCAAUGAUGAAAAUAGCCAAAUCUGAGCAUCAGAAGGCCUUUUGGUCGGCUGGGUGCAUGAUCUCUAUAGUUCUGAGA
rnacentral:snoRNA from 14 species